UUUAGGAGUUGUAAAAGUAUUGAAAUAUUCAAAUGUUAAAAUUUAGGGCUAUUUUAACAUACAAUGAAAAGGUGUGUAUUCUUUAUUCACACAGUGCUAUAAUAAAUAAAAUACAAGGGCUUCUGCUUCUCUUAUUCUUCAUUUCAGGUGGUAGAGUAUUUCAGGCAACUAAGCAAGCCCCAACAGCUUCUUUAUACUUUUCUGCAAAUGUCAUGUAAGUGAAAUGUAUUUCAGGGCUAUUUUAACACACAAUGAAAAGUUGUGUAUUCUUUAUUCAUACAGUGCUAUAAUAAAUAAAAUACAAGGGCUUCUGCUUCUCUUAUUCUUCAUUUCAGGUGGUAGAGUAUUCCAGGCAACUAAGCAAGCCCCAACAGCUUCUUUAUACUUUUCUGCAAAUGUC
rnacentral:lncRNA from 1 species